GACGAACGCUGGCGGCGUGCUUAACACAUGCAAGUCGAACGGAAAGGCCCUGCUUUUGUGGGGUGCUCGAGUGGCGAACGGGUGAGUAACACGUGAGUAACCUGCCCUUGACUUUGGGAUAACUUCAGGAAACUGGGGCUAAUACCGGAUAGGAGCUCCUGCUGCAUGGUGGGGGUUGGAAAGUUUCGGCGGUUGGGGAUGGACUCGCGGCUUAUCAGCUUGUUGGUGGGGUAGUGGCUUACCAAGGCUUUGACGGGUAGCCGGCCUGAGAGGGUGACCGGCCACAUUGGGACUGAGAUACGGCCCAGACUCCUACGGGAGGCAGCAGUGGGGAAUAUUGCACAAUGGGCGGAAGCCUGAUGCAGCGACGCCGCGUGCGGGAUGACGGCCUUCGGGUUGUAAACCGCUUUCGCCUGUGACGAAGCGUGAGUGACGGUAAUGGGUAAAGAAGCACCGGCUAACUACGUGCCAGCAGCCGCGGUGAUACGUAGGGUGCGAGCGUUGUCCGGAUUUAUUGGGCGUAAAGGGCUCGUAGGUGGUUGAUCGCGUCGGAGGUGUAAUCUUGGGGCUUAACCCUGAGCGUGCUUUCGAUACGGGUUGACUUGAGGAAGGUAGGGGAGAAUGGAAUUCCUGGUGGAGCGGUGGAAUGCGCAGAUAUCAGGAGGAACACCAGUGGCGAAGGCGGUUCUCUGGGCCUUUCCUGACGCUGAGGAGCGGAAGCGUGGGGAGCGAACAGGCUUAGAUACCCUGGUAGUCCACGCUGUAAACGGUGGGUACUAGGUGUGGGGUCCAUUCCACGGGUUCCGUGCCGUAGCUAACGCUUUAAGUACCCCGCCUGGGGAGUACGGCCGCAAGGCUAAAACUCAAAGGAAUUGACGGGGCCCCGCACAAGCGGCGGAGCAUGCGGAUUAAUUCGAUGCAACGCGUAGAACCUUACCUGGGUUUGACAUGGAUCGGGAGUGCUCAGAGAUGGGUGUGCCUCUUUUGGGGUCGGUUCACAGGUGGUGCAUGGCUGUCGUCAGCUCGUGUCGUGAGAUGUUGGGUUAAGUCCCGCAACGAGCGCAACCCUUGUUCACUGUUGCCAGCACGUUAUGGUGGGGACUCAGUGGAGACCGCCGGGGUCAACUCGGAGGAAGGUGGGGAUGACGUCAAGUCAUCAUGCCCCUUAUGUCCAGGGCUUCACGCAUGCUACAAUGGCUGGUACAGAGAGUGGCGAGCCUGUGAGGGUGAGCGAAUCUCGGAAAGCCGGUCUCAGUUCGGAUUGGGGUCUGCAACUCGACCUCAUGAAGUCGGAGUCGCUAGUAAUCGCAGAUCAGCAACGCUGCGGUGAAUACGUUCCCGGGGCU
rnacentral:rRNA from 1 species